rnacentral:lncRNA from 1 species
GACGCUAUGUGCCAGCUAAUUGCCACUUGUUAGGGGACAGUGGCUACCCAUGCAAACCAUGGCUCCUUACACCUUACCUCCAGCCACGCCAAGGGCCCCAACUAAACUAUAACAGGUAAGCCAAACAAUACAAAAAUCAUGGAAAUGAAAUGCAAGCAAUAUGUUAGAGCAUCAAAGUAGUGCAAUAUUUCCAUCAAAUAAUUAAAGGUCUGUAUUCUAUUGUAGGGCCCACAAGACAACAAGAGCGGUGGUGGAGCGUGGCAUAGGGCAGCUUAAGAGGCGCUUUCAUGUUCUCCACGGAGAGGUGCGGCUGAGGCCUGAAAAAGUCAGCAAAGUCAUCAUAGCCUGUGCAAUAUUACACAAUAUUUGCAAGGUUAGACAGAUUGCAGAACCUCUGGAGGAUGGCGAUGAGGAUGAGGAUGGAGACAACGAUGAGGAUGGUGGUGAAGAAGAUAUUCACAUUCCACAGGGGAACCUAGCCCAGAGUGGACUGCCUUACAGGGCAAACUUCACAAAUUUACAUUUCAGGGAUGCUGACGGAGCAGGUGCUGCGGAUGGGAAUGGUGUUUGAUCCGCCGGGCUAUCCUGAGUAGCAGCUGCAGAUGGUUCAGGCGGCAAACUUGAUGGGCCCGGUUCUUGUGAUGGCUCAAUGCUACAGAAAUACAUAGGCCUAGUUUAAUUAUUGUUUUGAUUAAAUUAAUUUAAUACAAUGAGCAUGGAUAACACAUGAAAUGGCUUCUGCAAUGAAUAAACACUGUUGAUAUGAAUAACCCUGUGUCCUACCUUUGCUGCAUUUCAAGGGCCUGCAUCAUUGACGUGUCAAUGCCUGUUGGCAGCCCGGUGACACUGACCUCAGAGUGUCCCAGGACUUGAAAGACAGUGUCGGCCACCUGGGACAGCCGCUUUGCAGGUGGUCCACCCCCUAGAAAGAAACAGUCAAUGAACACAGUAUUUAGGCAUGUAAAUUAACUUUGCCAGCAGGAGCAAGUUGCCAGAUUAUGUGGUAGGCCAUAGUAUUUUGCUCACCUGUGAGUGAGGAUUCCCGCUUGUGUGCUGCAAUCUCAUCUUUUGCCUUGGACUGCAGCACAUACCACCUUUUCUCACAAUCGUCGC